rnacentral:rRNA from 1 species
ACUCCUACGGGAGGCAGCAGUGGGGAAUAUUGCACAAUGGAGGAAACUCUGAUGCAGCAACGCCGCGUGGAGGAUGACACUUUCGGAGCGUAAACUCCUUUAUAUAGGAAGAUAAUGACGGUACUAUAUGAAUAAGCACCGGCUAACUCCGUGCCAGCAGCCGCGGUAAUACGGAGGUGCAAGCGUUACUCGGAAUCACUGGGCGUAAAGAGCGUGUAGGCGGGUUAUUAAGUCAGAAGUGAAAUCCUAUGGCUCAACCAUAGAACUGCUUUUGAAACUGGUAACCUAGAGUAUGGGAGAGGUAGAUGGAAUUUCUGGUGUAGGGUAAAAUCCGUAGAGAUCAGAAGGAAUACCGAAUUGCGAAGGCGAUCUACUGGAACAUUACUGACGCUGAGACGCGAAAGCGUGGGGAGCAAACAGGAUUAGAUACCCUGGUAGACUGUCA